CAGACUGUUGAUUUCCAACUAAGGAUGGGGGGAAAGUGAAAACAAUGGAAAUAAAAGGUCAAAGAAUCCCUCAGCACUUCUCCUUGCUGCUGCCAUAUGAAGAAGGAUGUGUUUGCUUCCCCAUCUGCCAUGAUUGUAAGUUUCCUGAGGCCUCUCCAGCCAUGCUGAACUAAUGCAUGCGAUUUGUUAAUCAUGAUGGAGAUCUCAGAUGCUUUUGAAGAGGCUGAACUGAUAUGAGAAAGUCUUAACCAGUUGUUGCUUCUUUGAAGAAGAAGGAAGGGGCCACAAGCCAAGGAAUGUGGUGGCAUCUAGACACUGGAAAAAGCAAGAAAAUGAAUUCUCCACUAAAGCAUCCAGAAACACAGCUCUAAAGAUCCCCAGUUUUAGUCCAGUAUGACCCAUGUUGGACUUCUAAACCAUAGAAUUGUAAGAUACUAAAUUUAUGCUGUUUUAAACCAUUAUGUUCAUGAUAAUUUGUUACAGUAGCCAUAGAAAUCUAAUAAAAUUGAGA
ensembl:lncRNA novel transcript